GAUGAACGCUGGCGGCGUGCCUAAUACAUGCAAGUCGAGCGAACAGAUAAGGAGCUUGCUCCUUUGACGUUAGCGGCGGACGGGUGAGUUACACGUGGAUAACCUACCUAUAAGACUGGGAUAACUUCGGGAAACCGGAGCUAAUACCGGAUAACAUAUUGAACCGCAUGGUUCAAUAGUGAAAGGCGGCUUUGCUGUCACUUAUAGAUGGAUCCGCGCCGUAUUAGCUAGUUGGUAAGGUAACGGCUUACCAAGGCAACGAUACGUAGCCGACCUGAGAGGGUGAUCGGCCAAAACGGAACCGAGACACGGUCCAGACUCCUAAGGGAGGGAGGAGUUGGGAAUCUUCCGGCAUGGGGGAAAGCCUGACGGAGCAACGGCGCGGGAGGGAUGAAGGUCUUCGGAUCGGAAAACUCUGGUAUCAGGGAAGAAAAAAUGUGUAAGGAACUGUGCACAGCUUGACGGUACCUGAUCAGAAAGCCACGGCUAACUACGUG
rnacentral:rRNA from 1 species